rnacentral:rRNA from 1 species
GAUGAACGCUGGCGGCGUGCCUAAUACAUGCAAGUCGAGCGAACGGACGAGAAGCUUGCUUCUCUGAUGUUAGCGGCGGACGGGUGAGUAACACGUGGAUAACCUACCUAUAAGACUGGGAUAACUUCGGGAAACCGGAGCUAAUACCGGAUAAUAUUUUGAACCGCAUGGUUCAAAAGUGAAAGAGGGUCUUGCUGUCACUUAUAGAUGGAUCCGCGCUGCAUUAGCUAGUUGGUAAGGUAACGGCUUACCAAGGCAACGAUGCAUAGCCGACCUGAGAGGGUGAUCGGCCACACUGGAACUGAGACGCGGUCCAGACUCCUACGGGAGGCAGCAGUAGGGAAUCUUCCGCAAUGGGCGAAAGCCUGACGGAGCAACGCCGCGUGAGUGAUGAAGGUCUUCGGAUCGUAAAACUCUGUUAUUAGGGAAGAACAUAUGUGUAAGUAACUGUGCACAUCUUGACGGUACCUAAUCAGAAAGCCACGGCUAACUACGUG